UGGAGGUCCGUUGCGGUGUUGACGUGCAAAUCGCUCGUCAAAGCUGGGUAUAGGGGCGAAAGACCCAUCGAACCAUCUAGUAGCUGGUUCACUCCGAAGUUUCCCUCAGGAUAGCUGGAGCCAUAAUAGGAGUUACGCCAGGUAAAGCGAAUGAUUGGAGGCAUUGGGGGAAUCGCUCCCUCGACCUAUUCUCAAACUUUAAAUGGGCGUGAGCUUGAGGUAUCUUAAUUGUACCUUGACGUAGAAUCCUGGUUCCAAGUGGGCCACUUCUGGUAAGCAGGACUGGCGACGCGGGAUGAACCGAGAGCUGACUUAAGGUGUCCGAGUGGUCGCUCAUCAGAUCCCACAAAGGGUGUCGGUUCAUCUAAACAGCAGGACGGUGGCCAUGGAAGUCGGCAUCCGAUAAUGAGUGUGUAACAACUCACCUGCCGAAUGAACCGGUCCCGAAAAUGGAUGAUGCUCAAGCGAUCCACCCAUAGUCGGCCGCGCUCUGGUAUUUCAAAAAGCCAUGGCGUGCGUAGGAGUGCGUGACCCACGCCGUAAAGGAGUUGGCGUGAGCCUCUCUGAAGCGUGGGUGAGUGCAGAUCUUGGUUGUAGUAGCGAAUAUUCAAUGGAGAACAUUGAAGGCCGAAGUGGAGAAGGUUUCCGUGUCAACAGCAGUUGGACAUGGGUCAGUCGGUCCUAAGGCAAGGUGUAAUUGCUCGCCUCAAAGCUGUCAUGGUCACACUUGUGUGGUUGUGCAGGAUUGCCGAAAGGGAAUGCGUGAACAUUCCGCAACUCGAAUGCAGAGAACUGAAGUGGUAACACAUUGACGAUCCUGUCGACCAUGUCCACUGGCCCCGGAUGACGCAGUCGUCUCUUUUUGAAGGAUUACGGUUGACCCUUGAAACGCUUCACGCGGGGACAUGGUUAACUUGCCUGGAAAGCUGCACUUCCUUCGUGCAGUAGGGUGUCUAGUGGAUGUGCAAGGAAAAGACAGGGGAGAUCCAUUUCUCUUGCAUCGAGCCGUACCGUUAACCGCAAUAGGUCUCCUAGGCUAAAAGCCUCUGGCCGACAGAAUAAUGUAGGUAAGGGAAGUCGGCAAACUAGAUCCGUAACUUCGGGAAAAGGAUUGGCUCCGAGGGUACAUGUUAGUGUCGGUGGUAACAGGCUCAGGCUCAGGAUGAAGGGGCUGCGAGCGGCGCUCUCGGGUGUUGCUUGCGGCUUCUGAUUCCUUCUGUGUCUCGUCGCCAUGCUGUACUUUCAAUGAAGUAUCAACUUGGAACUGUUACGAACAAGAGGAAUCCAACUGGUUAAUUAAACCACAGCAUGUCGCUUCAUCAUAGCGGUGGCGAGUGGCAUGUGACUUCUGCCCAGUGCCCUGAAUGUCAACGCUGAGAGAUCAGGUCAAGCGCGGGUAAACGGCGGGAGUAACUAUGACUCUCUUAAAGCUACUUUGAGAGAAACAUCUUCAAAUUGCGGGGAACUCCUGGUAGGCACUUGGUACCGCCAACAUUGCGAAAGCCUUGUCUGGCACCGGCCGUAACGGGUCCGGGUAUGGUAAUAACCCAAUGUGAUAGGGACAAUCCGCAGCCAAGUCCUAAGGCGCAGCUAUGGAUGCAGUUCAUCGACUAGAUGGAGAUGGUCCACUCAGCAGGGAGUGGUCUAAGAUAUAGUCAGUCUCACGUGAAAGCGGUAACUCUGAGGUGCAUCCGGCCGGGAAGAAAUGUUAACAAAUGUCUCACAUUUCUUACUGGUCGUCCUACGGGUUUUUAGAGGUCGUAACGAAGGUAGCCAAAUGCCUCGUCUUCUAAUUAAAGACGCGCAUGAAUGGACCAAUGAGAUUCCUUCUGUCCCUACCUACUAUCUGGCGAAACAGCAGUCAAGGGAACGGACUUGAAACUGU
rnacentral:rRNA from 1 species